AGUCACUGACAUUAGAUACCCCCGUAGUCCCAGCCGUAAACUAUGCUCGCUAGGUGUCAGGCAUGGCGCGACCGUGUCUGGUGCCGCAGGGAAGCCGUGAAGCGAGCCACCUGGGAAGUACGGCCGCAAGGCUGAAACUUAAAGGAAUUGGCGGGGAGCACCACAACGGGUGGAGCCUGCGGUUUAAUUGGACUCAACGCCGGGAAGCUCACCGGAUAAGACAGCGGAAUGAUUGCCGGGCUGAAGACUCUGCAUGACUAGCUG
rnacentral:rRNA from 1 species